rnacentral:rRNA from 1 species
CCAACGGGUGCUUAGUAGCGGCGAGUGAGCGGCAAAAGCUCAAAUUUGAAAUCUGGCACCUUCGGUGUCCGAGUUGUAAUUUGAAGAUUGUAACCUUGGGGUUGGCUCUUGUCUAUGUUUCUUGGAACAGGACGUCACAGAGGGUGAGAAUCCCGUGCGAUGAGAUGCCCAAUCCUAUGUAAGGUGCUUUCGAAGAGUCGAGUUGUUUGGGAAUGCAGCUCUAAGUGGGUGGUAAAUUCCAUCUAAAGCUAAAUAUUGGCGAGAGACCGAUAGCGAACAAGUACAGUGAUGGAAAGAUGAAAAGAACUUUGAAAAGAGAGUGAAAAAGUACGUGAAAUUGUUGAAAGGGAAGGGUUUGAGAUCAGACUCGAUAUUUUGUGAGCCUUGCCUUCGUGGCGGGGUGACCCGCAGCUUAUCGGGCCAGCAUCGGUUUGGGCGGUAGGAUAAUGGCGUAGGAAUGUGACUUUGCUUCGGUGAAGUGUUAUAGCCUGCGUUGAUGCUGCCUGCCUAGACCGAGGACUGCGAUUUUAUCAAGGAUGCUGGCAUAAUGAUCCCAAACCGCCCGUCUUGAA